AACGAACGCUGGCGGCAUGCCUAACACAUGCAAGUCGAACGAGACCUUCGGGUCUAGUGGCGCACGGGUGCGUAACGCGUGGGAACCUGCCCUUAGGUUCGGAAUAACUCCCCGAAAGGGGUGCUAAUACCGGAUAAUGUCUUCGGACCAAAGAUUUAUCGCCUUUGGAUGGGCCCGCGUUGGAUUAGCUAGUUGGUAGGGUAAAAGCCUACCAAGGCGACGAUCCAUAGCUGGUCUGAGAGGAUGAUCAGCCACACUGGGACUGAGACACGGCCCAGACUCCUACGGGAGGCAGCAGUGGGGAAUAGUGGACAAUGGGCGAAAGCCUGAUCCAGCAAUGCCGCGUGAGGGAUGAAGGCCUUAGGGUUGUAAAGCUCUUUUACCCGGGAUGAUAAUGACAGUACCGGGAGAAUAAGCUCCGGCUAACUCCG
rnacentral:rRNA from 1 species